ensembl:lncRNA
AGAGACAUAGCCUUAUGGGGACAUGGCCGUAUGGGGACAUGGUGCUUAUAGAGAGACAUGGCCUUAUGGGGACAUGCCCUUAUGGGGACAUGGUGCUUAUAGAGAGACAUAGCCUUAUGGGGACAUGGUGCUUAUAGAGAGAUAUAGCCUUAUGGGGACAUGGCCUUAUGGGGACAUGGUGCUUAUAGAGAGACAUAGCCUUAUGGGGACAUGGCCUUUUGGGGACAUGGUGCUUAUAGAGACAUAGCCUUAUGGGGACAUGGCCUUAUGGGGACAUGGUGCUUAUAGAGAAACAUAGCCUUAUGGGGACAUGGCCUUUUGGGGACAUGGUGCUUAUAGAGACAUAGCCUUAUGGGGACAUGGCCUUAUGGGGACAUGGUGCUUAUAGAGAGACAUAGCCUUAUGGGGACAUGGCCUUAUGGGGACAUGGUGCUUAUAGAGAAACAUAGCCUUAUGGGGACAUGGUGCUUAGCACUCCCUCUUAAGGCCUAAUAACACAGUGCAGAAAUACAAUAUGGUGCUUUACAGUAGAUUGAGGUUGGAAAAGGGAUAAGACUGCAGACAAUCAUCUUUGAAGAGGACCGACAGUCAUCAGACCACAUUAUGGGAAUUACGCCACAUUAUGGUCUUCAUCAGAAUUUGACCAUGUGUGUCUUUUAUAGAGGAGAGAUUUGAUUCUAAGGACAUUGUGCAAGUUUUUUUCAACAAAAAAAAACCCAAUGUUGUGCCAAGAUUGACAAUUCAUGUUGGCGUUCUUUCUUUGGGUUUUGUAGUCAGAGUCAUGAUUGGAUGUUAUUGAUACAUGCUGACUGAUAACUUUUGAAGUGAAAGCCAUAUAACACUCAAUCCACAAAAACUGCAGGGGCCAUACUUAUGAUUUAGCAUGUUAGCAGCUAACAAGGAUGGAUUUUAACCUGAAGGGACCCAUACUUAUGAUUUAGCAUGUUAGCGGCUAACUAGCACAGGUUUAAACCUGAAAGACCCAUACUUCUGAUUUAGCAUGUUAGCGGCUAACUAGCACAGGUUUAAACCUGAAAGACCCAUACUUCUGAUUUAGCAUGUUAGCGGCUAACUAGCACAGGUUUAAACCCGAAAGACCCAUACUUCUGAUUUAGCAUGUUAGCAGCUAACUAGCACAGGUUUAAACCUGCAGGUAACAUCUUUAGCAGCUUUUCGCAUUUCCAAUUAGAAAACAUGUCUUACUUGGGAACUCUAACUGGCUCUUAAUCAAAACAAAGGAACAGUUCACUCUUUAUUUAUGUCAAAUGAACACAUGGUCAAAUUAAAGAAACGCUUCAAGAGGAAGUUGUAGUUUUCUACCAGCUCUGAUACUGUACCUAUAAAUAGAUCAAACUAAUACUUUUAACCUUAACAGUGUUCCUCACAAACUAAACCAGGGUCGUAUUCAUUAGUGCACAUCGUAGGAAAAACAUUUAACAAGGGAAAAAUGAAAAUGAGUUUCUUAUUGGACAGAUUCAAGUAGUCCCUCCCUGUUUCAGUCCAUUUUCAUCCAUUGGGUGACUAACACAACCCAGUUCCCUCUCCUCCCUCUAUUCUUCCAAUAUAAUGUGCUUCCUUCUUGUUCACAUGGCUGAUAUUGGUUUGUUCUGAGUAUUUAUAUAAUCUCCCUGUUUUUAUUUUUUAUCCUGUUUGUACAUAUGAAUAUUAAACAGCCUUGUCAUUUUCCAAUACAUAUUUGAUCAAUAAUUUUAAAUGCAAUUUUUAAUAAAAUUAUAAUAAAAUAAAAAUCUUGUUGUGAUAUUAUUCAGUGACAGAACAGAAGAGAGGUACUUGUUACCAGAGUAAUCAUAGGCAAAAACUUCAAAUUUGUAUAUAUUUGUGUGCAGCUAUAUUAGAUUCUAGUAACGUAUCAGUUUUGUCAUGGACUGGACAGCUGUCUCUAUACCAUCGUUCCUGUUCUAUACCAAACAUUACAUACAACACACACAACUAAGAGAAAAAAAUGCAAAAUUCCCAAGUUAACACAGUUGGAAGAUUCUGGGAAUAUUUUUUAUUUAAUUUUUUUUAACUAGGCAAGUCAGUUAAGAACAAAUUCUUAUUUACAGUGACGGCCUAAACCGGGCCAAACCCGGACGACGCCGGGCCAAUUGUGCUUCGCCCUAUGGGACUCCCACUCACGGCCGGGUUAUGAUACAGCCUGGAUUCUGACUCCUCAAGCACCGAGAUGCUGCGCCACUCAGGUGCCCCAAUCAUGAGGGAACAAGAACAUCCUCCAAACAGGAUCUCCAAAACAACUGGGACAGGAAGAAAAAUCAUUACAUUUCUCUACAACGAAAAUGUUGUAAAAAUCAGAGAGAAUCAAAACGUCCUCUCCCCUCCUCCGGGUCUCUCAAUUCACAGGUUGUAAAAUCUCUCAAAAUCAUGGACAGAAACAAAAUAUUUUACAGCAGUUUUAAUGAGAACAGACUUUCAUAUGCAAACCAGUGACCGUUACGGUCUGAGAAAAUAGCUCAUUUGAACUUGUAAUUUACAUGGAUAUUUUGAUGGAUUUGUGGAACAAAAAAAAAUGGGUUGCUUUUUGUAUGAACAUAACAUAUUGUACUGUACUACAGCUCUCGGGGAUAGCAUCCCAAAUGGCACCCUAUUCCCUAUAUAGUGCACUACUUUAGACCAGGAACCUAUGGACCCUAAAAGUAGUGCACUAUAUAGGGAAUAGGGCGCCAUUUGGGAUGCUCCCCUACUCUGAGACGUUUCACACCCAGUGUCCACUGAGCACACUGCAGGCCAAACGCAGUGUCCACUGAGCACACUGCAGGCCAAACGCAGUGUCCACUGAGCACACUGCAGGCCAAAC